AGAAAGGGUCGUUGUCCUGCUUGACUUAAAACCCUGUCAGGCAGGUUUUCCUCCCUUUUACAGAG
ensembl:miRNA